UGCAAGUCGAACGAGUUCUCGUUGAUGAUCGGUGCUUGCACCGAGAUUCAACAUGGAACGAGUGGCGGACGGGUGAGUAACACGUGGGUAACCUGCCCUUAAGUGGGGGAUAACAUUUGGAAACAGAUGCUAAUACCGCAUAGAUCCAAGAACCGCAUGGUUCUUGGCUGAAAGAUGGCGUAAGCUAUCGCUUUUGGAUGGACCCGCGGCGUAUUAGCUAGUUGGUGAGGUAAUGGCUCACCAAGGCGAUGAUACGUAGCCGAACUGAGAGGUUGAUCGGCCACAUUGGGACUGAGACACGGCCCAAACUCCUACGGGAGGCAGCAGUAGGGAAUCUUCCACAAUGGACGCAAGUCUGAUGGAGCAACGCCGCGUGAGUGAAGAAGGCUUUCGGGUCGUAAAACUCUGUUGUUGGAGAAGAAUGGUCGGCAGAGUAACUGUUGCCGGCGUGACGGUAUCCAACCAGAAAGCCACGGCUAACUACGUGCCAGCAGCCGCGGUAAUACGUAGGUGGCAAGCGUUAUCCGGAUUUAUUGGGCGUAAAGCGAGCGCAGGCGGUUUUUUAAGUCUGAUGUGAAAGCCCUCGGCUUAACCGAGGAAGCGCAUCGGAAACUGGGAAACUUGAGUGCAGAAGAGGACAGUGGAACUCCAUGUGUAGCGGUGAAAUGCGUAGAUAUAUGGAAGAACACCAGUGGCGAAGGCGGCUGUCUGGUCUGUAACUGACGCUGAGGCUCGAAAG
rnacentral:rRNA from 1 species